UUAACACCUGUGUUAAUUACCAUGUUUGUGGGGGGAGGGAGGAAGCAUGGCUGGUAAUAUGGUAAUAGGUGCCCAUACUGCCAGACAUGCCACCUUUCUCACCCUACAAAAGCCCAGCAGAGACCAUGUGAUG
rnacentral:pre_miRNA from 1 species